UACGUAGGGUGCAAGCGUUAAUCGGAAUUACUGGGCGUAAAGCGUGCGCAGGCGGUUAUGUAAGACAGUUGUGAAAUCCCCGGGCUCAACCUGGGAAUUGCAUCUGUGACUGCAUAGCUAGAGUACGGUAGAGGGGGAUGGAAUUCCGCGUGUAGCAGUGAAAUGCGUAGAUAUGCGGAGGAACACCGAUGGCGAAGGCAAUCCCCCUGGGCCUGCACUGACGCUCAUGCACGAAAGCGUGGGGAUCAAACAGG
rnacentral:rRNA from 1 species